rnacentral:rRNA from 1 species
GAGGCGGGGCUAACAUGCAAGUCGAACGAUGAAGCCCUUCGGGGUGGAUUAGUGGCGAACGGGUGAGUAACACGUGGGCAAUCUGCCCUUCACUCUGGGACAAGCCCUGGAAACGGGGUCUAAUACCGGAUAACACUCCUGCCUGCAUGGGUGGGGGUUAAAAGCUCCGGCGGUGAAGGAUGAGCCCGCGGCCUAUCAGCUUGUUGGUGGGGUAAUGGCCUACCAAGGCGACGACGGGUAGCCGGCCUGAGAGGGCGACCGGCCACACUGGGACUGAGACACGGCCCAGACUCCUACGGGAGGCAGCAGUGGGGAAUAUUGCACAAUGGGCGAAAGCCUGAUGCAGCGACGCCGCGUGAGGGAUGACGGCCUUCGGGUUGUAAACCUCUUUCAGCAGGGAAGAAGCGAAAGUGACGGUACCUGCAGAAGAAGCGCCGGCUAACUACGUGCCAGCAGCCGCGGUAAUACGUAGGGCGCAAGCGUUGUCCGGAAUUAUUGGGCGUAAAGAGCUCGUAGGCGGCUUGUCGCGUCGGAUGUGAAAGCCCGGGGCUUAACCCCGGGUCUGCAUUCUAUACGGGC